AACGAACGCUGGCGGCAUGCCUAACACAUGCAAGUCGAACGAGACCUUCGGGUCUAGUGGCGCACGGGUGCGUAACGCGGGGGAACCUGCCCUUAGGUUCGGAAUAACUCCCCGAAAGGGGUGCUAAUACCGGAUAAUGUCUUCGGACCAAAGAUUUAUCGCCUUUGGAUGGGCCCGCGUUGGAUUAGCUAGUUGGUAGGGUAAAAGCGUACCAAGGCGACGAUCCAUAGCUGGUCUGAGAGGAUGAUCAGCCACACUGGGAGUGAGACACGGCCCAGACUCGUACGGGAGGCAGCAGUGGGGAAUACUGGCCAGUGGGCGAAAGCCUGAUCCAGCACGGCCGCUUGAGUGAUGAAGGCCUUAGGGUUGUAAAGCUAGUUUACCCGUGACGAUAAUGACGGUACCGGGAGAAUAAGCACCGGCUAACUCCGUG
rnacentral:rRNA from 1 species